GCUCAGUUGGUAAAGCACAAGGCUCUUAACCUUGUGGACGUGGAUUCAAACCCCAU
rnacentral:tRNA from 1 species